UCAUGAUAUAUUCCCAUGAACGCUUCCUCCAAGGAUCAUCAAAUCUCAUAUUUCCCAUUCGUUUCCAUCGAUCAGAUCUCGGAACCAGGUACCGCCUCAUCUCCGCAUCGUUUUUGUUUCUUCGGUCUGCCCUCGAUUUCCGUGGCAAUUUGCUUGGAUUCGAUGUUGGAAUCCGUUUCUGUUGUCGUUCCCUUUGUUUGAUGAUCGACUUCGGUCUCAGUUCCUCGGAACCUAUCCUGGUUUGGGGAUCUGAUUUGUCGCUGUAGUGUUUGGGGUGGGUCUGAUCCUGUUCAUCGUGUAAGGAGGCCGAGGCGGGGACGGAGAUUACGCAAUCGAGUUGACCACGAGUACGAUUACCUCUUCAAAAUCUUCCUGGCCGGGGAUUCCGGCGUUGGGAACCUUGGAUUCCAAGUCCACCAUUGGUGUCGAGCUCGCCACCAAGACCAUUCAGGUCAGUGGCGGAUCUAGGAAUUGAAGCAUGGAGAGACGAUUUUUAGAUGGAACAAGGGGAGGUAUCUUCUAUCUCCACCGGUAAAAUCUCAUACUACUAGGGGUUCCAUUACCGGCAAAGAGGGGCGACCGCCGAUGUCGCCCCCCCUCUGGAUCCACCCCUGAUUCAGAUAAGGUUUGGCAAAAGGUGAAAUCGUUCGCCCCUAGUGUUUUCGUCGCAUCCAACCCAAGACGAUCAUGAGGGAUGAGGGAGGUAAAUCACGACAUAUUUAGAUAAGGUUGUGUUUAUUACUUGAGGAGAUAGACAUGCAAUUACUUGCCAUACCAUUUGUAUCAAAGGUCAAUGCAAUAAAUCAGUUUCUAUAAAGGUUAUAUAAUAUUAGUACUAAGUGAUGUUCAUUUUCUUUUUCAAUUUUAAUUGGACUUCUGGAUUUAUAUUCCAUCAGCAACUUAAAUGGAAUGUACAGAUAGAAGGGAAGACAGUAGCACAGCUUUGGGACACGGCAGGGAAAGAAAGGUGCCUUGCCAUAACUAAUGCAUACUAUAGCGUUGCAGUGGGAGCCCUUCUAAUCUUGGAAAUAAGAAGCAAACAUUUGAUAAUGUGCAGAGGUGGCAAAUUGUCAGCUUAACAUUUCGUUUAUGUAAAUUAUGCUUUUUGGAAUAAAAUUUCUGAUGGAAAGUGAACUCAAA